rnacentral:tRNA from 1 species
AGCUCAGGUGGUUAGAGCGUACGCCUGAUAAGCGUAAGGUCGGUGGUUCGAGUCCACUC